UGACUAUCUAAUGACAAUAAAGGGGAAUAAAAUGAUAUGGUCUGAGUAAAAGUCUGAAGAAAUGAAGUAUGUAGAAGUUUUCUCUCUUGGAUGGAUUGAGCCUCCUAACAGAGACAUCCUUUGCUGAAUAAAUUCUUCAAAACCAGAUUGGAAGUUCACAUAGCUUUAUGGAAUCAGCCAAGGUGCCUACAAUGGAUGAAUGGAUGAAGAAAAUGUGGCAUAUAUACACAAUAGAGUGUUUAGACAUAAAGAACAAAAUUAUGUCAUUGCCAGCAAAAAUGGGUGGAACUGGAGAUCAUCGUGUUAAGUGAACAAUCUGUGUGUACUCUUUAAAUAAAUAGAACCUGGCAAGACAGUGGGUUCUCUGUGGCCACAUGGGUUAGCAAAAAUGGAACAAAACACACAAGGACAACUAUUUUUAUCUGCUACAUAGGGCCACAUAUAUGACAGCGGCCCAUAAGAUUAUAUUGCCUAGUGACGUUGUAGCUGUGUUAGAUUGGGUAAGUAGAUUUUGUGUUUGCCCAAUGACAAAAAUCACCUAACGACACAAGUCUUGUAUUCUGG
rnacentral:lncRNA from 1 species